rnacentral:lncRNA from 1 species
CAAGCAUACACAUUUUUAUAACCAAAUUAGGAAUAUUGAUUUUAAAAAUCUUCAAAUUUCCUUACAAUAUAUAGUAGGUGUCCCCAACCCCUGGGCCACAGACUGGUACCACGCUGCAGACUGGUAGCUUUCUGUGGCCUGUUAGGAAGUGGGCUGCACAGCAGGAGGUGAGUUGCAGUUUAACUAGCAUUACCGCCUGAGCUCCGCCUCCGGUCAGAUCAGCUGGGCAUUAGAUUCUCACAGGAGCAAGAAUCCUAUUGGGAACUGUGCGUGAGAGGCAUCUAGGUUGCACUCUCCUUAUCAGAAUCUAACUAAUGCCUGAUGAUCUGAGGUGAAAUAGUUUCAUCCCGAAACUACCCCCGACUCUGUCUGUGGAAAAACUAUCCCCACAAAACCUGGUGCCAAAAAGAUUGGGGACCACUGAUAUGUAGGGUUCCAAUUAUUUUGGAAGACAUGAAUUAAGAGACUGGUUGAAGUUCACUAGGCGUUCUUUGCUUCUAAGUCCUCUGUCCUCUAGGCUGUGUUGCAUACAUAAUAAUGCAAGACUGGAGGACACCAAUAGCAUCUGCAAAUGACAAGAUACCUUCAGAUGAAGCCUAAUUCCAAAAAGAUUAAAUAGUUAUCCACAUGUAGAUUAUAUAAACUUUUAGGAGGUUAAUUCUGUGGGUUGCUGGAUUCUGGCUCCCUUAUGCCCUGCAACCUUAUGGCUUCAUGCUAUAUAUGAACUUCUUACUAGGAAUAAUGGAUGACUUGACUGUUCUCUGCUUCCUGAACAACUUCUACCAUCAUGUUAAAUUGAAGCUUCUCAGUUAUGCCAAGUUAUUCAAUAUAUGAUGUCCUAUGUUCCUCAUCUUUGCACUGGAAAUAAUGCUGUCAACUCAAAUGCUUGAUCAAAAGUAUUGAUUAUCUGGUGUCAGCUGUUUUCCUGAAUUCAUGCAGUACUGACAAAGAAGAAUUUGGAAUUAAAUACCAGAGAAGAGUUCUAUUCCACCUAGAGGGUACAGUUUUGUGACAAUAUUUUUGACAUUCUAAUUAGGUUAUCAGCCUAUGAUUGCAAAUAAAAAAUGAAACAAUAAUAAUAUUUAAAUACAAAGGUAUUUAAAGUAAUGAAAGCAAAAGUCUAAUGUACAUCUUUAGUUCUUUUUUCAUAGCUGAGUUAAUAAAUACUUUUUGUAUCAAGUUAAUUUGAUAUAAAAAGUAAUUCUUAUAUAUUACUAAUCAAGAUAAUAUGAAUUACAACAAAGCAUUACUUAGAAAUAUAAUAUUAAAAUGCAACAGCUUUAAAUCCUAUUGACCCAAUGGAUAUUACCUACAAGUCAGGCUCUGUACAAACCCAUUCAGAAUGCUCCAGCUGACAGUGCAGUAUUUUAUGCCAAUCAAAUUAUGUUAUUGUGAUAGAACAUGAUAUGGAUUUUUAAGAAAAAAAUGAUCCAAUACAAAACUGUUAUAUACUUGGCCCUCAUCCCCAUGAUCACAAAUCCCAGAAUUUCAAGAAAAUUUGGCCAACUGAAGUAAAUUGUAAAUUGUGUUUACACUGUCACAUAGGUGGCAUCACUAUAGCUAAGACACAAAGUAUUCUCUGUGUAUUGUCAAGAUUAUCCUGAAAUACCAUAAUUUUUAAAAGUUUUCAGGACAUAUCUAUUUAUCUAAUGUUAUAUAUAUUUAAAUAAAAUAUCUAUACUAUUUUAAUAUAUACCUUAAUUUUCUCUGCUAUGUGUUUAAUUCUGUCAUGUAAAAAAGAGACACGAAAAUUGUAACCCCCAGCACCUUAGAAUGUGAACUUAUUUGAAAAUGGAAUCAUCACAGAGGUAAUCUGGUUGAAAUGAGCUCAUUAGGAUAGACGGUAAUCCAAUAUGACUGGGCUACUUAUAGAAAAGAGAAAAUUUGGACACAGAUAGACACAUAGAGGGAAGAUGAUGAAGAUACACAGAGAGAAUGCCACUGAAGAUGGAGGUAGAGAUUGCAAUUAUGUUGCCACAAACCAAGGAACAUCUGGGAUUGCCAGAAGCAGGAAGAGGCAAAGAAGUAACCUUCUCUACAGGUGUUAGAGGGAGCAUGGCCCAUCAAUCCCUUGAUUUCACACUUCUAGCCUUUAGAACUAUGAAACAAAACUUUUCCCUUGUUCUAAGACAUCUAAUGUAUAAUACUUUGCUAUUGCAGCCAUAGGAAGCUAUACCUUCUUUCCUUCACUAUUAAAAAUUUUAUUGUUCUCUUUCAACUCCUUUGACAUCAUGUCUAUUCCUUUAUAACUAAAGUCAAUGAUUAAUUAAAGAAUAAUAUCUCUUUCUAAGUGUAAGGUUGUGUUCCAACUGUCUUACAUACAUUAAUUCAUUUAAUUCUUACAACAACCCUGUGAAGUAAAUACUAUUAUUUUGCUUUUUAC